rnacentral:rRNA from 1 species
ACUCAAAGGAAUAGACGGGGACCCGCACAAGCGGUGGAGCAUGUGGUUUAAUUCGAUGCAACGCGAAGAACCUUACCUGGUCUUGACAUGUCUGGAAUCCCGAAGAGAUUUGGGAGUGCCGCAAGGAACCAGAACACAGGUGCUGCAUGGCUGUCGUCAGCUCGUGUCGUGAGAUGUUGGGUUAAGUCCCGCAACGAGCGCAACCCUUGUCCUUAGUUGCCAUCAUUAAGUUGGGAACUCUAAGGAGACCGCCGGUGACAAACCGGAGGAAGGUGGGGAUGACGUCAAGUCAUCAUGGCCUUUAUGACCAGGGCUACACACGUGCUACAAUGGCAGGUACAGAGGGAAGCCAACCCGCGAGGGGGAGCUAAUCCCAGAAAACCUGUCUUAGUCCGGAUUGGAGUCUGCAACUCGACUCCAUGAAGUUGGAAUCGCUAGUAAUCGCAGAUCAGCAUUGCUGCGGUGAAUACGUUCCCGGGUCUUGUACACACCGCCCGU